rnacentral:rRNA from 1 species
UAACGCGUGGGUAACCUGCCUCGUACAGGGGGAUAGCAGUUAGAAAUGACUGCUAAUACCGCAUGAGCGCACAGUGCUGCAUGGCACAGUGUGAAAAACUCCGGUGGUAUGAGAUGGACCCGCGUCUGAUUAGCUAGUUGGUGGGGUAACGGCCUACCAAGGCGACGAUCAGUAGCCGGCCUGAGAGGGUGAACGGCCACAUUGGGACUGAGACACGGCCCAA